rnacentral:tRNA from 1 species
CCCCCUGUAGCUCAGCGGUAGAGCAGUCGGCUCAUAAUCGAUUGGUCCCCGGUUCGAAUCCGGGCGGGGGGA